rnacentral:rRNA from 1 species
CGUGUAGGCGGGUCUUUAAGUCAGGGGUGAAAUGCCAAGGCUCAACCUUGGAACUGCCUUUGAUACUGGAGAUCUUGAGUCCGGGAGAGGUGAGUGGAAUUGCGAGUGUAGAGGUGAAAUUCGUAGAUAUUCGCAAGAACACCAGUGGCGAAGGCGGCUCACUGGCCCGGAACUGACGCUGAGACGCGAAAGCGUGGGGAGCAAACAGGAUUAGAUACCCUGGUAGUCCACGCUGUAAACGAUGGAUGCUAGCCGUUGGGGAGCUUGCUCUUCAGUGGCGCAGCCAACGCUUUAAGCAUCCCGCCUGGGGAGUACGGUCGCAAGAUUAAA